rnacentral:rRNA from 1 species
CCUACGGGUGGCAGCAGUGGGGAAUAUUGCACAAUGGGGGAAACCCUGAUGCAGCAACGCCGCGUGAAGGAAGACGGUUUUCGGAUUGUAAACUUCUGUUCUUAGUGAAGAAUAAUGACGUUAGCUAAGGAGCAAGCCACGGCUAACUACGUGCCAGCAGCCGCGGUAAGACGUAGGUGGCAACCGUUGUCCGGAAUUACUGGGUGUAAAGGGAGGGCAGGCGGGAAGCCAAGUCAGCUGUGAAAACUACGGGCUUAACUUGUAGACUGCAGUUGAAAUUGGUUUGCUAGAGUGAAGUAGGGGCUGGCGGAAUUCCUGGUGUAGCGGUGAAAUGCGUAGAUAUUCGGAGGAACACCGGUGGCGAAGGCGGCCAGCUGGGCUUCAACUGACGCUGAGGCCCGAAAGUGUGGGGAGCAAACAGGAUUAGAUACCCGGGUAGUC